GACGAACGCUGGCGGCGUGCUUAACACAUGCAAGUCGAACGGAAAGGCCCUGCUUUUGUGGGGUGCUCGAGUGGCGAACGGGUGAGUAACACGUGAGUAACCUGCCCUUGACUUUGGGAUAACUUCAGGAAACUGGGGCUAAUACCGGAUAGGAGCUCCUGCUGCAUGGUGGGGGUUGGAAAGUUUCGGCGGUUGGGGAUGGACUCGCGGCUUAUCAGCUUGUUGGUGGGGUAGUGGCUUACCAAGGCUUUGACGGGUAGCCGGCCUGAGAGGGUGACCGGCCACAUUGGGACCGAGAUACGGCCCAGACUCCUACGGGAGGCAGCAGUGGGGAAUAUUGCACAAUGGGCGGAAGCCUGAUGCAGCAACGCCGCGUGCGGGAUGACGGCCUUCGGGUUGUAAACCGCUUUCGCCUGUGACGAAGCGUGAGUGACGGUAAUGGGUAAAGAAGCACCGGCUAACUACGUA
rnacentral:rRNA from 1 species